rnacentral:lncRNA from 1 species
AACGGACAGCAAGGGAAUUAUUAUUAUUUCCUUCUUGCUAAGCGGUGGCCGACUCCAAUUGAAUUAAGGAAGCCAAAUCAGGCUUGAGGAGUUUAAUCGAAGUCAAACUCUACUAAGCUGAAGCUAUGCGACGGGUUAGGCUAAGAUUAAGGGGAUAAGAUCAAGUUUUUUUGAAUUAUUGGAGGAUUUAUUUUUCCAUAAAAGGAGGAGAAGAAGCAGCAGACG